UUUUGUUUGGAAGGGAAGAGUUGCUACGGGAUGUGAUUCUAACGUUUCUAUCACAGCUAACUCGACUCCUUGCGUUUUUGUAGGUGCUCGUUCGAACGAGAAAAACCAACGAGAUUCUACAAAGUUUUGUUUCUGUGUCGAUCAAGUUUGCCGGUAUGUGAUAUUCAGUUUUCUAUCACAGCUAACUCGAUCCUUGCGUUUUUGCAGGUGCUCGUUCGAACGAGAAAAACCAACAAGGUGCCACAAAGUUUUGUUUCUGUGUCGAUCACGAUAUUAACUUUUAACUCGACUCCUUCCGUUUUACAGUGCUCGUUCCAACGGGAUGCCACUUACCUGGCCUGAAUGGUUACCGCUGCUGAGACGCUCAAGGAUUGGGUCGAGCUCAUUCGGUUUUGAACCGGGCUCGAGAGAUUCACGAUUGGGUCUUCUCGCGGCAGUCUCUCGUGCUGAGCUCGCGGCUCUACCUCUCGAAUCUCCUUGUGGAGAUGUACGGCAGGUGUGGGAGCAUCGAG
rnacentral:lncRNA from 1 species